CGGCCACGCCUUACCGAAAGGAGUCCUGACUCAGAGCUGCUGUGCCGUCCCUUCUCCUGUCCCUGCCUGGAAGAGGCCUAUCAGGUUGACCAAGCUUUGCUCCCACCUGUGGAUGAGAAGGGCAGGUGGCCGAGAGUGGGUGUGGAGGAGGAAGACUGGAUGCCAAUGAUCCUGAUCUCACUCUGUCACCAAGGCUGGAGUGCAGCAGCAGAAUUUCAGCUCACUGCAACCUCGACUUGCUGGGUUCAAGGGAUCUCCCAAGUAGCUGGGACUACAGGUGCACACCAUCAUGCCUGGCUAAUUUUUUGUAGGGAUGGGGUUUUACCAUGCUGCCCAGGCUGGUCUUGAACUUCUGAGUUCAAGCGAUCCUCCCUCCUGAGCCUCCUAAAGUGCUGGGAUUACAGGUUUAAAAAAUAUCCUGGACUUUGGAAAAUAUUCUUAUAUAAAGAAGCAAAAAGAGGAUGGAAUAGACUUGUGCUAACACUGAAACUCCAGUCAAGUUGUAAACUGAAAAAGAACGUGUUGAAACAAGGAAUUGCCCCAUAGCCUUCACAGGAUCUCACUCUGUUGCAGUGUCACUGGAGUGCAGUGGUGCAGUCUUGGCUUCCUGCACCAUCUGCCUUCCAGAAUCAAGCAAUUAUCCAGCUUCAGCCUCCCGAGUAGCUGGGACCACAGACGUGCCACCAUGCCUGGCUUAUUUUUUUAUUUUUUGUAGAGAUGGGGUUUCACCAUUGUUGCCCAGGCUGGGCUCAACUCCUGAGCUCAAAGUGAUCCAUCUGCCUCAGCCUCCCAAAGUGCUGGAAUUACAGGCUCAGUCUAUACUAGUAUAUUUACAACUAUAUUUUAUUACAAUAUUUAUUAAAUAUUGUUGUCUUUUGCUAGGAAACUUAAAAACCUUAAAGAACAUCAUUUGUGAGCUCCCAAUUGGCACAAAUUACAUAAGGUACUCUACACAUAUUUUUAUUUUCUUAACUUUUUGUUAUAACAAGUGAAAAAUCUAAAAAUCAACUGAAUAAGCUUUUAUGUUGAAAAGUAUACUUAAAUGAUUCUGGUGAUCAUGGUGUUCUAGUAAGAAAAAUGCUUUGCUAGUGAUGUGACAGCGUACGGCAUAUGAAUAAUAUUUGAAAUCUUGCUACUCUUUUCUUAUAUUCUGCCCCAAACCCAAAGGAAGUUUAAAAUGAGAAAAAAGGUAAAGGUAUGAAAGAACCUUUGGUGACUCAGGUGGCUUCAGACUUACCAGUCACAAAAACUUGCAAGCAGGUUCUAGGAGACUUCACUGCAUCCAUAUAUGCUGUUAAUAGUGUUUUUUUUUUUUUUUGAGACGGAGUCUCACUCUGUUGCCCAGGCUAGAGUGCAGUGGUGUGAUCUCGGCUCGGCUCGCUGCAACCUCCACCUCCUGGGUUCAAGUAAUUCUUCCACUUCAGCCUUACGAGUAGCUGGGACUAUAGGCACCUGCCACCAUGCCAAGCUAAUUUUUGUAUUUUUAGUAGAGACGGGGUUUCACCAUGUUGGCCAGGCUGGUCUCAAACUCCUGACCUCAAGUGCCCACUCCAGCCUCCCAAAGUGCUGGGAUUACAGGCAUGAGCCACCGCACCCGGCUUGUUAUAGUCUUAAAACACUCUACACCAGGGGUUAGUAAACGUUUCCUAUAAAGGGCCAGAUAGUAAAUAUUUUAUGUCACUACGCAACUCUCCACGGUAGCAUGGAAGCAGCCAUAGACAAUACGUAACUGAAUGAGUGUGGUGUGUUCCGGUAACGCUUUAUAGACACAGAAAUUCACUUAAAGUCCAUAUAAUUUUCACAUGCCAUGAAAUAUUUACUGUUUUUUUUUGGGGGGGGAUGGGGACAGGGUCUCACUGUCACUCAGGCUAGAGAGCAGUGGCACCAUCACGGCUCAGUGUAGCCUAGACCUCCUGAGCUCAAGUGAUCCUCCUAUCUCUCAGCCUCCUGAGUAGCUGGGAUCACAGGCAUGUGCCACUAUGCCCAGUUAAUUUUUGUAUUUUUUGUAGAGAUGAGGUUUCACCAUGUUGCCAAGGCUGGUCUUGAACUCCUGGGUUCAAGCAAUCCAGCUGCCUUGGCCUCCUGAAAUGUUAGGAUUACAGGCGUGAGCCACUGCACCCAGUGAUUUAAUAGAUGUAAAAAUCAUUCUUAGUUCUUGGGGCAAAUAAAACAGGCUUGCAGGCCAGAUUUGGCCUGGGAGGUAUAGUGUAGACUGGUCCACACGAUUGGAGAGUCAGCAGGCUCUUACUCUCAGACUUCCUGGUGGUCCUCACCAGUCUAUUUUACAGUGGCUUCUUUAUUUCCUUUCUGCCACUGUUGAUGGGACUGUAGCGUCACUGCAUGUGACUGAUACCAAAAGAGAAAGGUUCUUUUAAUUAAUCUUUCCAUACUAUCCAGAAGAUUUUUUUCAGUUUUAUUUCUUAAACAUAUAAGAGGGCAUUAUAAAAUGACAUUAUAAUUAUAAAAGAUUUUCUUUUAAGAACAAUGUUUUUAGGCCUACUAAUAUUACUUAAUAAAAAGAGCAGAUAUUUAAGAGACUGUACAUUUUUAUUUAAUAAACCACAUGGCAAAACAAUACUUUAAUAAGUGUAUAGGAAAUUACAAUGUGAAAGUUGCAAAUACAGCACAUAUAUAUAUAUAUAUAUAUACUUUGAUCUUAAUUAACAUGGACAAACCCCAGCUUCAAAAUCUUUCUAAAAUCAAUCAUAUGCAAAAUACCUGGUUUCUGAAAGGGCAUAUGAUAAAGUAUAUACAAUUUCUUAAACUGUGAUAUGGCUUAUUUAAUAACAUGUAUUUAUUGAGAGAAGCAUAAACUUUCCAAAUAUACAGUAUCUUCCAGGUAGAAAGAUGACAUACUGGCACAUUUCAAUUUUGUGUUGCAGUUAUCUGAGAAUAUACUAAAUUGCACUAUUUAAGUGGACACUGUCAUAGAUUUAACUGGGAAAGUCUCCAUAAAUGUUUUCCAAUCUUAUCAAAAAGCAAAUUGGUCCUCAAUGAUUGGAACAGCAGGUUAAACCCUUUACAAGUCAGAAUUCAGUGACUGGCAGGCCUGAGUGCACACAUGUAAUUCAAUACUGAGGAACUCCCACAACACUGUCUUCUAAUUUGCAUGCUCCCACGAACAUCACAAAUAAUAUACCUGAUUGGCAAUCAGUAAAACAAAUCUCAAGACCUGGUUGUCAAGAUUCAUACGACACAUCUGGAGUUAGGGUUUGCAAAUUGUAUUUUGGCUACAAAGAUAUUAAACUUUAUCAAUUAUUCGAAGAUCAGACUUGCCUCCCCUCAACAUAGCAUAUAGUGAUGGGUGUUCAUUUAUGACAAAUAACCAACUGGCUCAUGAGCUUGGCUUGCUUCAAAGACAAAAUGAACCAAAUGAACUAAUCUUCUAUCUAGGAAACACUCUGUAACUUUAAAUUUGCUAUAUACAAAUCAGAGCCAACAGCAAAAUUGCCUAAAACCUUAUUUCAAAUGGGCUCAUAUUCUGUAAGAACACCAUAUUAAGUUGAGCCAAUUAACAUAUAUGCAUAAAAGGAAAAUAGAUUUAGCUAACUGCUUGUUUCAAAAUCAAAUAAGUCUACAAAAGCUGUGAGAGUGGCUGAGAAACACGACCCAAAGUCUUCUUAGCAAUGAUAUUCACUGGUGGUUGUGCAGUGUAGUCUCUUUGUCUACCACACUUACUCUACGAAGUCCAGUGUGCAGAGAAAUCUGGAUCUGGAACAACCAGCCAUUUUAAAAAGGUUCUUUCAUACCUGGACAUACAUUUCUAAGCGGUGCCUUGUCUCUGAAAGAUGAUUUUCCUCACAUUAAAAUGAGAGAGAAGCUCACGUGUCUGAUCUUGACUAUGUCUAUUCUGGAAAGUCUAUGAAAGACAAACACUGUCAGGUGGAACACCUGGGUUCAAAAGGAACACUAAGUCUCGUAAGAGCAAGAAACUUAGUUUUAGAGAAUGGAAAUAAAGCACCCAAAGUUGAAAAGAAAACAGUAAAAUAAGAAACCCGGUGAUGUGGCAAAAAAACACUGAUGGGAACUCUAAGUUGUAAAAAUCUGCACUCACAUUACAUAAGGCAUAGCUAAUGGAAAUGUAUGUAGGAAUUACAAUAGCUUCCAGUUCUGCAUAUCAAAACCUUCUGAGACAUGCUUUCUUCAAUUACACUCCCAUUAUGUUUCUAAGGCAGCAUAAUUGUUAGUGGAAUAAUAGGUCUUUUCCUGAAACAGACCAAAAGGUUGCAUCUGGCCAUAGUUGUGAAACACACGUUUAUGUACACAAGUAACUCUGAUUAUUUGCAAAUACUAAUUAAAAUAUAUCACACCAAAGAACUGCCAAGUUUUUAUAUUGUGGUCUGUGGUCCUGUCAUAAUCUGUUUUCCCAGUGCAAAAUUAAUAAUGCUAUGUGUUCAUCCAACUCAGCCACUGCUUUUCACAGGGCAUAGAGCUCUUUGAGAGCUCAGCUGAGAAGUGUAAUGCAUGGUUGUAGCUCAACAAGUGAAGGAUAGACCAAACGCUUUUUGUCAGAAGUCAUUCAGUCCUUGGUCCUAUCUGCUAAGUUAAUGUCCUUUUCUGUGGGUUAAGUUACAAAAAGUGAAAUCAAAUUCUCAAAUCUCAUAGACUCCGUAAGGUAAAGAUACAAACUAUGUACUUUUUCCUACAAAAACAAAGCACAGGAAACUUUAUGUGUACCUCACUUUAAGCAGAACACGAUAGUUAAGAUUUACAGAAGUUUUCAUGGCUGGGUGCGGUAGCUCACACCCUGUAAUCUCAGCACUUUGGGAGCCCGAGGUGGAAGGAUUUCUUGAGCCCAGGAGCUCAAGACCAGCCUGGGCAACAUAGGGAGACCCCAUCUCAUUAAAAAAAAAAAAAAAAAAAAAAAAAAAAGAUUUACAAAGGUUUGCAGUGUUUCUGUAUUUUACAAAAGGAUUCUUUUUGGCUGGGCACAGUGGUUCAUGCCCAUAAGCCCAGCACUUUGGGAGGCCGAGGUGGGCAGAUCACUUGAGCUCAGGAGUUCAAGACCAGCCUGGGCAACAUGGUGAAACACUGUGUCUACCAAAAAUACAAAAAAUUAGCUGGGUGUGGUGGUGCAUGCCUGUGGUACCAGCUACUUGGGAGGCUGAGAUGGGAGGACCACUUGAGCCUGGGAGGCAGAGGCUGCAGUGAGCCCAACUGUGCCACUGCACUCCAGCCUGGGUGACAGUGAGACACCAUCUUAAAAAAAAAAAAAGAAUUCUUUUCAAUACUCAAAUGAAUUUUAGCCUGUUUUAUCAAAUACAUUUUUUAAGGAACAGGUCGAUACAAAAGCGAGAUAUGCCUUUAUAAGAUAAAGAAAAGUUUACAAGAAACAAGCUCAAUAGAUAUAAAAAAAUGAUUAGAGUAUGAUGAAUAUUUUUUUCCUUUCUACUUGCUAGAUACUCAAAGUCCAUAAAUAUGUCCAGAUGUCCACUGAAAUAUCUCUCAUUUAUUCUUACUUGGUUUCUAUAUGUAAGAAUAUUUUGAUUUAAAUAGUUUAUAUGCUCCUGAAAUUUCUGAGAAAUUCAAGUCAUUAUUUUAAAUGACUUCACAAUAGGAAUCCCAUCAUGUAUAUUUUCUUUUCCUUUUUGUUUUUGAGAUAGGGUCUCAUUUUGUUACUCAGGCUGCAGUGCAAUGGUGUGGACAUGGCUCACUGCAGCCUCAACCUCCUGGGCUAAAGCACUUCUGCCACAGCCUUACAAGUAGCUGAUACUACAGGUGUGCACGACGCCUGGCUGAUUUUUAUAUUUUUGUAGAGACAGGGUCUCUACAAAAGACCAGGCUGGUCAUGAACUCUUGGCCUCGAGGGAUACUUCCACCUUUGCCUCCCCAAAUGCUGAGAUUACAGGCAUGAGCCACUGUGUCUGGCCACAUAAAUUUUCAGUUCAAUUCAACAAACAUCUACUGGGUUUCAUUAGAGGGACCAUCAAUCCUUUUAUUGACACCAUUAACUCCCAACAAUCUUAUAGGUAAAUCUGGGUUUUCUUAUCUUAGGUUUACUUAUAGUAAGGUACUUGGUAAGAAGAUAAAAUGUUUCCUAUUCUUCAUUUAUAUUGUAAGUCAUCUGCAUGCUUAUCUAGAAUUUCAACUUACAAUUUGCCUGGUACAUUGUUACCCUACUCUGAUUCUUAGAGGAGCCCAAUAACCAUAUCCAUUCUUCGUGUAAGAAACUGUCACUGUUGAAAAGGGACUCCAAAUGUGCAUAAAAGAUAAUCUCAAAACCAAUGGUUGCAAAAUGAAACAUGAACAGUCAAGCUGCCUCUUUAACACAGGCAUUUACAAUUAGGUUGCCUUCAGUUUGGAAACCUCUGUUUAGUUUCCCUGCAACACAGAUUUAAUGUCCAUCCCUAUCUAGUGCUUUAAAACACACACAUACAGGCCAGGCAUGGUGGCUCAUGCUGUAAUCCCAGCACUCUGGAAGGCCAAGGCAGGCGGAUCACCUGAGGUCAGGAGUUCAAGACCAGACAGGCCAAUGUGGCAAAACCCUGUCUCUACUAAAAAUACAAAAAAAUGAGCUGGGUGUGGUGUACCUGUAGUCCCAGCUAGUUGGGAGGCUGAGGCAGAAGAAUCACUUGAACCCAGGAGGCAGAGGUUACAGUGAGCAGAGGUCACGCCACUGCACUCCAGCCUGGGUGACAGAGUGAGACUCUCUCAAGAACAAAAACAAAAACAAAACCACACACAUAUAUAAGGUCAAAAAUCCUUUACAUUUCUGUUUUCUCAAAGUAAUAUCUUCCCCCAACCCCUUGGACAUUUCUGCUAUGGUAUUAUUGGAAAACCUCAAAAUUGUAUUUUAGGGUUUCUGGAGUCCAUGGAGAAUCCCUAACCCAUAUCAUAAAACAUAAAAUAUAUAAUAAAACAUAACCCAUAUCAUAAAACAUAAAAUUCUCUCUGGAUUAAUGUUGUUGAACUAUAUGUGAAAGGUGGGAAUUAUAAACUGAACCCUCUAGAGUUUACCCUGAAAGGCUAAACACACAGAUGACCUGGAGUGGAGGCAGGAACCAACGUACCACAUUUUUUGUACAAAUUGUUGGCAGUUCUUAAAGGGACAGAAGAUUACUGUUUACAUUUUGCAGUCUCUUGCUUUUUUAAGACAAUUUCAUGAAUGAUAAAAGUGAUGUCGGGAAGACAUAAACCUGAAACUCCAACCCCCAUCCUCGCUCUUUUAUUUUGUUUUAAAUCAUCAUAUAGUAAUUUGAGUUUAAGACUAACUUCAGCCAUUCAGAAUAAUAUUGAAAGUAUUUCCUAAAUCAUUUAAUAACAGUGACCACAAUAAAUAAAGAUUUGGUUCUAAGAUUACAAAUAAUGAAAAAUGUUAACUUUGAGAUUCAAAACCCUGUAGCAUCUGGAAAAGGUUGUUUAUAAAGUAUAAUCAUAACAAUAACAUUAAGACUUAUGUGUGAAAUAAAACAUUUCUGAAACACUUAGGAAUACAUGCUUAUUCCACUUUUGGGAUAACUACUAGUACUUCCUGAAAUCUGUUGGGUAGUAAUUUCUGUAAAAAGAAAGCAGCAAUUCCAGAAGCUGGGUGUCGAGAUUAUUAUACAUAAUAAAAAAAAUUCAGUUUUCCAGCACUGGCUUAAUAUAAAAUGGCCUUAAAAAGUAUUUUUAAAUGCAAAUAUUGAAUUCUUGAUGCUUCCUUUAAGACACGUACUCUGUCAAGUUAAUGAAGUAUGAUCUUGGAUUGUCUUCUAUGAGGUAUCUGUAGAGUCACAUCUCAUUCUGUAAACAGUGUUUGGGAAACAUCUUCAUCUGAAAAUUAUGGCAAAGUCUCCUUUUACCAUUAAACAGAGACUAGCACUGUCAGGCUGGGGCAACUGUUUGAGAGACUGAUGCUUGAUACGGACACAGCUGUCAGGGAUUCCAUUUUCUCAUUUAGGUUUGCAUUUAUUGCUCUCAAGUCUGUGACUGCAGGAUAAAUAAGGCAGGAGUUCCCAAAAUACAUAAAAUUAGGGACUAGAACUCUGACAAUUUGCACAAGUUCUGUCCACUUCUUGCCUGUAACUCUGAAGCUGAAUAGUACAUCUAUACAUGCCAAAUGUGUUCAAUAAUAAAUGGUUUGCUUUGGACUGUACUUCCUCCCAUUUAGAUGAACUUCCAG
rnacentral:lncRNA from 1 species